rnacentral:rRNA from 1 species
AGUGAACGCUGGCGGUAGGCCUAACACAUGCAAGUCGAACGGCAGCACAGUAAGAGCUUGCUCUUCCGGGUGGCGAGUGGCGGACGGGUGAGGAAUACAUCGGAAUCUACUUUUUCGUGGGGGAUAACGUAGGGAAACUUACGCUAAUACCGCAUACGACCUACGGGUGAAAGCAGGGGAUCUUCGGACCUUGCGCGAUUGAAUGAGCCGAUGUCGGAUUAGCUAGUUGGCGGGGUAAAGGCCCACCAAGGCGACGAUCCGUAGCUGGUCUGAGAGGAUGAUCAGCCACACGGGAACUGAGACACGGUCCAGACUCCUACGGGAGGCAGCAGUGGGGAAUAUUGGACAAUGGGCGCAAGCCUGAUCCAGCCAUACCGCGUGGGUGAAGAAGGCCUUCGGGUUGUAAAGCCCUUUUGUUGGGAAAGAAAAGCAGCAGGUUAAUACCCCGCUGUUCUGACGGUACCCAAAGAAUAAGCACCGGCUAACUUCGUG